GACGAACGCUGGCGGCGUGCCUAAUACAUGCAAGUAGAACGCUGAAGGAGGAGCUUGCUUCUCUGGAUGAGUUGCGAACGGGUGAGUAACGCGUAGGUAACCUGCCUGGUAGCGGGGGAUAACUAUUGGAAACGAUAGCUAAUACCGCAUAAUAGUAGAUGUUGCAUGACAUUUGCUUCAAAGGUGCAAUUGCAUCACUACCAGAUGGACCUGCGUUGUAUUAGCUAGUUGGUGGGGUAACGGCUCACCAAGGCGACGAUACAUAGCCGACCUGGGAGGGUGAUCGGCCACACUGGGACUGAGACACGGCCCAGACUCCUACGGGAGGCAGCAGUAGGGAAUCUUCGGAAAUGGCCGGAAGUCUGACCGAGCAACGCCGCGUGAGUGAAGAAGGUUUUCGGAUCGUAAAGCUCUGUUGUAAGAGAAGAACGAGUGUGAGAGUGGAAAGUUCACACUGUGACGGUAUCUUACCAGAAAGGGACGGCUAACUACGUG
rnacentral:rRNA from 1 species